CCCAGACUCCUACGGGAGGCAGCAGUGGGGGAUAUUGCACAAUGGGGGAAACCCUGAUGCAGCAACGCCGCGUGAGUGAAGAAGUAUUUCGGUAUGUAAAGCUCUAUCAGCAGGGAAGAGAAUGACGGUACCUGACUAAGAAGCCCCGGCUAACUACGUGCCAGCAGCCGCGGUAAUACGUAGGGGGCGAGCGUUAUCCGGAUUUACUGGGUGUAAAGGGAGCGUAGACGGCUGGUCAAGUCUGAAGUGAAAGCCCGGGGCUUAACCCCGGAACGGCUUUGGAAACUGAGCAGCUAGAGUGCUGGAGAGGUAAGCGGAAUUCCUAGUGUAGCGGUGAAAUGCGUAGAUAUUAGGAGGAACACCAGUGGCGAAGGCGGCUUACUGGACAGUAACUGACGUUGAGGCUCGAAAGCGUGGGGAGCAAACAGGAUUAGAUACCCUAGUAA
rnacentral:rRNA from 1 species